rnacentral:misc_RNA from 1 species
GCCCGAUACAACUCCACCCACGAACACCCCUCCCCACCUUCCAUCCCAUAAAAAGUCAGAUUCGGCGUCGCCGGAGCUCCUCCCCCAGCCACCACCAGAUCAAGCACCGUCAUCGGCCUCCGCGGAAAAUUAAACGCCAAAUUAUCAACCUUAUGCUCAUAAAUCUUCCCCUCCCGAUCCAAUUUGUACCUCGACGUCCCCUGAAACCGCCCCCUAGCUUCCCACGGCACCCGCGGCGUCCCCUGCAGCUCCCACCGGAUUAGUAUCGACGUCUCCGACGGCUGCCACACCCGGAAAAUCUCAACCCCUAUCUCACUGAACAGAAUCCGGCCGUGGAACCGCAACGCCCAGAAGAUGAACUUGUAGUUCUCGAUGCCGUGGAAGGUG